AGGCUGCAAUGAGUUGAAAUGAUGCUAGUUCUUGUAGAUUUACUUCACCAACUUGUUAUAAUACUUUUAAAGUGAUACUGCCCAGAAGGUUAGCAAUGGUACUGGUUUUUGUUUGUUUGUCUUGCUUCAACAAAUAAUAGUUUGUGAAGAUUAUGUAUAUAUGCUUCAGGAGACAUUUUGUUAAGAAAACCAGAUAAAAUCUACAAGCCUAAAUUUUGAAUUAUCGAGACUUUCUAUAAGGGAAACAGAAAUUUUUGGCCUUAACUUAGAUUUUGCCAUCAUGCAGAUCCAUCCCAGGUUUUAUUAAUUGCAUGUGAUAUGCUGAAAAUGGAGACUUAAUGCAAAUGACAAGAAAAAUAACAUUUUAAUUGCUUAGAAAGAAGUUUACUUAACAUUCAAUAGCUAAAUCCAGUAAGUUAGUAUAUAAUAGACAGUAAUAACUGAGAUUUUAUCCUCCUGCUCAGAAAUCCAGUGUGAAAUUGUGUUUAGAAUGGCAGUGAUUAAUCAUUAUGGUGAACUGUCAAAAAAGAGUUCAGGUCACUUAUGUUAAUGAUUGCAGUAUGCAGUUUUUGACAUUUACUGUGAGCCCUAACGUAUUUCAUAUAUAACAAUUAACCAAAAAUGCAAACAUCUGGAAAGUAGUCUGCCUGAAAUCUUGGAAGAAGUGAUAACACACACACACACACACACACACACACACCAUAUGGAAGAUACCUUGAAUAAACAGUUGCAUUAUAAAACAGCAUUUUAUAAAUAAACUGAAACAAAUAAUUUACUCACUAUAAGAUCAUUUUCCACAAAGCAAUGUAUAUAAUGUCAACAGUCACCACAACCCAGAUUGCAUAGCAGUAUUUGUUUGAUAAUAAUCAGGAAACAUUUAGAUGCCAUGGUUAGGAUAAGAACCAUAUAUGCAUUGUUCUUAGGCAAAUUUGUGGGCAUUACCAAUUCCUCAAAAUUUGUUUUAAAUUUCUCAAGUAAUAAUUUCUUGGUUUUUAUGCAAUAAAAGUGACUAUAUGAUCUAGAUUAUACAUGCAUGUACACAAAUACAGAAUAAUUUCUAAAAAAGAAUAAAUAUUUUGUAAGACUCAAUGUCUGGACAUGGAGGUAGGUAUGAAAAAAGUGCCAUGGAAAGUGUUAUAUUACAAAAAGUAUAAUUACAUUGUUAGUAUGGUGAAUAUUAGACAAGCUUCAUGAGGAAGUACUUUAUUACCUGGUAAGGAAGCGUUUCUGCUUUGAGGGCAACUUGUAAAGAUUAUAUAUAACAUGUCAAAAUAAGUUGUUUGGGGGAAAACAAAUCUGUACGUGGGAACUUUCAGACCCAUUGAAUGCCCCUGGCAGUAUGGUCGUUAGUAUUACUGAAUUGUGGGGAUUUGGGUUAAGAAGGGAGAGACUAGAGAGAAGUCAAUAGUAGAAAAAUAAUUAUGAUUCUCGGAACACAUCCAUGCCAAUCCAGGUUGCUUUCAUCCUUAGUUAUUUAGGAAGCAUAGCAAUGGACUCACUACCAUCUGAGAGUGCUUUACACUUAACUUGCCUAAAGUACUAUGCAGUCUUCCUUGGCUGUUAAGAUUUCUCACUUUUUGAUGUGUUCUAUUUACUUUGCACAAAGCUAAGAAUAGCAAGCACAAGGUAGUAAGGAGGUAACGACAAAGCCAAGAUCACUCAUUGGUAUGGUGUUUGGAUUUGGUAAUUGAAGUCUUUUCUUUCUUAUAAGAAAAGUAUGUGUGUAUAUGUUUGUGUGUGUAUAUGUGUGUAUAAACUUUUUUACCAAGUUUUAUGAGUCAUCAAUCAAAUUUCCUCCCCAGUUUACCCCAGCAAGCAGGGUUAUGAGAGAUGAAUUUCACUUAAGGAGAAUUUUGUUUAGAUUGAUUUCUUAUAAUAUUCAUCUAGAUGACAUAGAUGACAAUGCAGAAAAUCAGUAGGGUAACUUGUGUCUUUACUUACUUGAUUUUGACUUAGGUGUUCAGAUAGAUUAUUAUAGAUGCAUUGUAAAACACCCUUGAGCCACUCUAGAUCCUCCAAGAAUUGUUUGUUUUUGUUUUGUUUUGUUUUGUUUUGUUUUGUUUUUGUAACUAGGCUCUACCUCUGGCUCACUCAACAAAGAUGAACAACUGGUUUUCAAUGAAACAGUUGUAGGGGGUAGGAAAGAUAGUUGUUACUUGUAUAGCCUUGGUUAUUCGUUCACCUCCAGAAAACAGUUUCAGGAAAACCAGAAGUCUCUAUUUGAAAUCAUGCUUAUAAUAUAUAAGAAAUAUCUUGAUUAUUCUAUUAUCUAUUUCUUGAUUAUUCUAUUGUCUCAUUUUCUUUUUAUAUAAAUGCUGAAUGGUAAAUCACUUGGGGCUCCAUUUCCCCCUUACCUGAGCUAUUCAUACCUAUCUUGCAUGAUCACAUUACAAAGUAGAUCAAUAAAUCCUUAAUUGAAACUAUAAAAUUUAGGAAACAAAGAAAUUAUAAAUAUUUUAUAUUUAAACAAGAAUUACAGAUCAACAACUUUGGAAACUUUAGCAAUGUCUUGCAAAGUUAAACAUACUUUACUGUCUGACCAGUAAUUCCACCCCUAGGUAUUUAUUAGAAAGAAAUGAAAACACAAGUAGAGGAGUUAAUUUUAUAUAGCAAAAAUCUUGAAGUAACCCAAAUUGCCCACCAGUAGGUGAAUGGAUAAACAAAUUUUGUUAUGUCCAAACAGCAAAAUACUACUCAACAAUAAAAGAGAGUCACUGAAACAGGCAUGAUUGAAAGAAGGCAGACACACAAGUUUUGUUUGUAUGAAACACUUAAGCAAAACAAAUUUAUAAUAACAGAAACCAGAUGGGUGAUUACCUGUGACUAGGAAAGGGAUAGAAAGAGUUUACUGCAAAGGAGUAUAAGAGAGCUUUGUGGGGUGCAGGAAAUAUUUUAGAUCCUAAUAUUAAGGGUGGGUACAGGAGUGUAUACAUUUGACAGACUUGUCAAACUAUAUACUUCAUAUGAGUGUGUUAUAAAUUUUAUCUCAAGUUGAUAUUGAAAGAAUAGAAUAUUGAGUGUUUGGAACAAAGGAGUGUGUGGUGGAAGACAUGUAGUAGUAUUCCAUGGUAGGAGGUAAUACCCCUAGAAGAGUAAGACUUGAAAUUGUUUUGAAUCAAAAUAGUAUUUAAUUGAGAUAAAAAAUGUAGCAGUUAAUAUUUUCUUCUAUACUGUUGGAAAGAUCAGAAACAGCAAAACUGUAUUUUUUUUAGCAAGUAUAAACAUUAUAGUAAGCACUUAAUAAGCCUAAUAUUGUUUGCUUCUUUCUAAACCUCCAUUAGGUAUGUUGUAAAAAAAAAUAAAAAAA
rnacentral:lncRNA from 1 species